rnacentral:rRNA from 1 species
ACGGCUCAGUAACACGUAGUCAACAUGCCCAGGGGACGUGGAUAACCUCGGGAAACUGAGGAUAAACCGCGAUAGGUCAUUUCUUCUGGAAUGGGUAAUGACCCAAAUCUACAUGGCCCCUGGAUUGGACUGCGGCCGAUCAGGCUGUUGGUGAGGUAAUGGCCCACCAAACCUGUAACCGGUACGGGCUCUGAGAGGAGGAGCCCGGAGAUGGGCACUGAGACAAGGGCCCAGGCCCUAUGGGGCGCAGCAGGCGCGAAACCUCUGCAAUAGGCGAAAGCUUGACAGGGUUACUCUGAGUGAUUUCCGUUAAGGAGAUCUUUUGGCACCUCUAAAAAUGGUGCAGAAUAAGGGGUGGGCAAGUCUGGUGUCAGCCGCCGCGGUAAUACCAGCACCCCGAGUGGUCGGGACGUUUAUUGGGCCUAAAGCAUCCGUAGCCGGUUCUACAAGUCUUCCGUUAAAUCCACCUGCUUAACAGAUGGGCUGCGGAAGAUACUAUAGAGCUAGGAGGCGGGAGAGGCAAGCGGUACUCGAUGGGUAGGGGUAAAAUCCGUUGAUCCAUUGAAGACCACCAGUGGCGAAGGCGGCUUGCCAGAACGCGCUCGACGGUGAGGGAUGAAAGCUGGGGGAGCAAACCGGAUUAGAUACCCGGGUAGUCCCAGCUGUAAAUGAUGCAGACUCGGUGAUGAGUUGGCUUAUUGCUAACUCAGUGCCGCAGGGAAGCCGUUAAGUUUGCCGCCUGGGGAGUACGGUCGCAAGACUGAAACUUAAAGGAAUUGGCGGGGGAG